rnacentral:rRNA from 1 species
GACGAACGCUGGCGGCGCGCUUAACACAUGCAAGUCGAGCGAGAACCAGGGCUUCGGCCCUGGGGACAGCGGCGAACGGGUGAGUAUCACGUGGAUAACCUGCCCUCGGCACCGGAAUAGCCCGGGGAAACUCGGAUUAAUGCCGGAUAGCCCCACAGCCCCUCGGGGCGGUGGGAAAAGGUAGCUUCGGCCUCUGGCCGAGGAUGGGUCCGCGGCGGAUUAGCUUGUUGGCGGGGUAAUGGCCCACCAAGGCGACGAUCCGUAGCUGGUCUGGGAGGACGAUCAGCCACACGGGGCCUGGGACGCGGCCCAGACUCCUACGGGAGGCAGCAGUGGGGAAUCUUGCGCAAUGGGCGAAAGCCUGACGCAGCGACGCCGCGUGCGGGAAGAAGGCCUUAGGGUUGUAAACCGCUUUCAGGAGGGACGAAGCCACUCGGGUGAACAGCCCAGAGGGUGACGGUACCUCCAGAAGAAGCCCCGGCUAACUACGUGCCAGCAGCCGCCGUAAUAC